UGGAGGAGGUCGGCAAGGUAGGGGGGUGCUAGGCUGUUCAGGGCCUUGUAGGUGAUGAGAAAGAUCUUGAAGUUGAUUCAGUGUUGAAUUGGAAGCCAAUGGAGUUCACGGAGGACAGGUGUGAUGUGUUCUCUGGAGCAGGUACCAGUGAGGAGGCGUGCAGCUGAGUUCUGGAAAUAUUGAAGUUUUUUGAGGACUUUGUUGGCAGUGCCGUAGAGAAGACCAUUGCAGUAGUCAAGCCUGGAUGAAAUGAAAGCGUGGAUGACUGUCACAGCAGCGGUAGUUGACAGGUUGGGGCGGAGGCGGGCGAUGUUUCGGAGGUGGAAAAAGGCAGUUUUGGUAAUAUGGUUAACAUGGGGGAGGAAGGAGAGAGUGGGGUCCAGGAUAACUCCCAGGUUACGGAUUUUGGUGGAGCGGGUGAUGGUGGAGCCGUCAAUGUUAAGGGUGAAGUUCUGAGUGGAGUGAGUGAGGGUGUCAGGACCAAUGAUGAGGAUUUCGGAUUUGUUGGAGUUGAGUUUGAGAAAGCUGUUUUGCAUCCAGGACUUGAUGUCAGUCAAACAGUUGGAGAGGGUUGAGAGGGUGGAAGGACUGAUGGUUUUGGAGGGGAGGUAAAGCUGUUUGACAUCGGCGUAACAGUGGAACCGGAGUCCAUUCUGACGGAGGAUCUGACCAAGAGGAAGCAUGUACAGAAUGAAGAGGAGUGGACCAAGCACAGAACCCUGGGGGACACCGUGGAUGAGAGGAGUAGUGGCUGAUUGACAAUUGUUGAUGGCGAUGAAUUGAUGUCUGUCGGAGAGAUAGGAUCCAAGCCAGGAGAGGGCGGUGCCAGUGAUGCCAAGGGUGGAUUGGAGACGGGAGAGGAGAAUGGAGUGAUUGAUCGUGUCAAAGGCAGCACUGAGGUCAAGGAGGAUGAGGAUAUUGAGGGAGCCAGUGUCAGAGGAUAGCAGAAGGUCAUUGGUCACUUUGAGGAGGGCAGUUUCUGUACUGUGUUUGGAGCGGAAACCGGAUUGGAAGAGUUCAAAGAGGUCGUUGGUGUCAAGGUAGGUGAUGAGUUGUUUGGCAACAACACGUUCCAGGAUUUUAGACAGAAAAGGUAGAUUGGAGAUGGGGCGGUAGUUGUUAGGGGAAUCGGGAUCCAGGCCGGGUUUCUUUAGUACGGGGGUGACUGAUGCAAGCUUUAGGGAGGAGGGGACAUGGCCGGAGGAUAGAGAGGAGUUUACAGUGUUAGUGGUGAGGGUGGAGAGAAUGGGGAGACAGGCCUUUAGAAGUGUGGUGGGGAGCGGGUCCAAGUUGCAGGUUGUUGAUUUCAUGGUUGAGACUAUGGAGGAAAGAUCAGAGGAGGUGAUGGUAGCAAAUGUGGAGUAGGAUUGACCGCUGGUUAGGGGGGGAUCCGGUUUGGGACGUAUGGCGGGGUCGAUGGUCAACUGGCUCUGGAUUGUGCUGAUUUUAUCAUUGAAGAAGGAUAGGAAGCUAUUGCAUUUUUCAACUGAGAAGGAGUGAGAGAUGGUGUCCAAUGGCUUGAGGAGUGUGUUAAUGGGGUUGAAGAGGGUCCUUGGAUUGCUGCUGCCAGACUGGAUGAUUCCUGAGUAGUAGGAGGAGCGGGCUGAGUUCAGGGUGUCGUUGUAUAGCUGGAGGUGUUGUUUGUACAUUUCCUGGUGGACGGUAAGACCUGUUUUGUGGGCAAGCAGUUCCAGUUGGCGUCAUUUGGAUUUGAGAUGGCGGAGUUCGUCAGUGUAACAUGGGGCUGAGCUGGAGAAUGAGACCAAUUUAGACUGAACAGGUGCAAGCUUGUCAAGGCAGGAUGAGAGGGAUGAGUUAUAGCAGUUAACCAGGUAGUCGGGGGAGUUGUUGUGGGUGAUGGUGAGUUUAGCGAUGGACUCAGAAAGACAUGUUGAAAGAGAGGAUGGGUUGAUGGAUUUGAGGUUGCGGAAAGUGAUGGUGCGUUUUUGCUUCUCAUGGGGGGAGGGAGUCUGAGUUUGAAAAGUAAUGGCCAGAUGGUCGGAGAUGUGGAGGUUGUUACUGGCCAGGUGACUGAUUGUGAUGCCAGUGGAACAGACCAGAUCCAGGGUGUGGCCUUUGUUAUGAGUUGGAAAAUCGAUGUGUUGGGUGAUGUUGAAGAAUGAAAAGAUUACCAGAAGUUCGAUUACGGGUUUGCAGACAGAGGAGUCCACAUGAAUGUUGAAAUCGCCCAGGAGGAGAACGGAUGGAGACAUAGCACAGAUCUGGGUAAGGAAUGCAGAUAAAUCAGGGGGAAAGGCAGAGUUGGGCUUAGGGGGACGGUAAAUGACUGCAAUGACCAGGGGCUUGGGACCAGACAGUUUAAAAGAAAGGGAUUCAAAUGAAGAAGGGGUUGGGAUGGAUGUUGCACUGGUUUUGAUGUCAUGGUGAUGGAUGAUGGCAAUUCCACCGCCAGAAUGGAGUAUCCAGGGGGCGUGGCUUGAUUGAGUGAAAAAUAGUCGUGGGUUUUUGCCAGGUUUCAGUGAGACAGCGAAAAUCCAGUGCUGAAUCAGAAAAAAAUUCACUGAGGAGAAGUCCUUUUUUAUUAAGUGAACGGGUGUCGAGAAGUGCACAUUUCAGAUGAGAUGAGUUUUUGUUGGUGACGGGUUGAGGAGCUCUGGGCCCCGUUUCCCGAAAGCAUCGUUAGCCUAAGUGGAUCGCAGAGUGGGUCGUAUGAGCAUCUUACAGUUUUCAGACCGUUUCCCGAAAGCAUCGUUGGUAAUGAACGUCUUGAAAACGCUCGUAGCUAACGAGUGCUCCAGGGUACUCGUAGGACGCUAAGAGCGUUGUUAGCCUACUAUAGAGUGAACUCAUUAUUGCAUGCGGGUGUCUUCAUUCAUAAAAAAUGAAAACAUUCGGGAGUAUGCAAUAAUACAAAUUAUUCUAAAGAGGUCAGAGACUCCGUGCACAGCCCCGCCUUCCCCAGUGAACCAAGAAACCCCGCGCCGUGACGAACGGGGGAUUUAACCCCCUCGGUUUGACACAGGAAACUUGAGACAAGAAGGUGAAAUCGCCGGGCGUGCCAAGCUGCGACCGAACCGGCUCGGCAGUGUAGAAAGACCUAUAGCCAGGGUUCGAGUUAGGUGGGAGCCAGUGGGAGCUGAGCUCCCAUAGAGAGAGGUCUGGCUCCCAUGAAAGCAGUAAACUCAAAUAUAUGUGGGGAGUUAUAUUGACGUUAAGUGGGAUAAUAGAACGCCGGUCAUUAUCGGGAAAAUAAUCCCAUACAGGGCGAACCGGACACCGAUUCGAAACGGAGGUGCUUCGAUAAUUUAUUAUUUAUUUUCGAUAAUGAGCGGCUACUUGCCAAACGAAAAAAAAAGGUGUUUUUGUUUUUACAAUUUAUUCGUUACCAACUUACCAUACGUAGUGUUGAUCAGCAGAGAAAUAGUUAGCCAAAGACGUUGACGUCGCUUAGCAACCGAAGAAGCUGGCGUUGUUGUGAAGGGCCCAUGCAAGUGAACGGAGCGUUCCACGGCAUUGAGAAGAGCCGUGUCAUAAUAGCCCAUAUUUACGUCCUAUAUCAGAUAAAGUCGGCUCUCUUGCUGCGCAAAAUAUAUGUUUAAAAAAUCAGCAGAUUAAGAUAAAUGUAGUUGUCACACAAGCUAUUUUGGAUGUUUGUAAUUUGGAAUUAUUUCAGGGGGGGAAAUGCCGUGAAUAAAUGUAUGCACAGUGCAUUCAGGAUUAGGACUGAUAUAUAUGUCGGCCUAGGCUUAAUCAAUUGUGUUUUAAUAUCUUUGGCAUUCAUAUUAUUGCAAUCUAUUCUUUUCAUAGGCUACUCUGCGGUUGGCCUUGAUGGGGAGAUAUUUUAACCCUUUUUAACCCCAUUUUCCUCCGACAUUCCUGCGUCUCCCCCUGCGUCAUAGCCCGUUUCAGAAUCAUGUCAGCGGACAGGUACGAUCCUACGAUCGUCGUGAGUGCAGCGAAUGCGCUUUCACGUUAAGAGGAGUUUCGGGAAACGCUCCAAAGAAAUUAUCGAUGGUUCGAAAGAUCCAUCGGGAGAAUGAUCUUACGAGCGAAGAUCCAUCGUUAUCGGGAAACGGGGCCCUGGGUAGCGGAGUGAGAUAAACAGUGCGCACGGUGUGGUUGUAAUGUUGAUGACGUCGUGUCUUUGGCGGGUGCCGAUUGGCCCACAGUGAGGAAAUGGAAUUUUCUGAGCCGGAGUAAACAAACGUCCUCCGGCUGCCUCUGUGGACAUAUCGUGGCCGACGAAGGAGUCCGAGUUUUUUGAUUGUGUUGUAUAUAAUGUGUCCGGGAGGAGUGCCUGGUGAAGAGCGUAGUUGGAGGAGCUCGGAGAUGGAGUGCCAGUGUUUAAGCAGGGGCUGAUGAUGGAGGGCCGGGUUGUAGCAGCCAGCUAGCAUGUAGUCACCCCGCAAUGGCUCACCCGGCAGCCAGCUAAUCAAUGACCCAGCGCUACAGGCAGGUCCCGGACAGCUGACAGCAGUGGCACGGACAGGUAGCAUCCAGCUAGUCACCAGCUGGCUAGCUAGCGACCAGUUUCCAGGGGUAGAAGGGGAGAAUUGUAGUCCGAUCCGAGGUCCAGAA